GACGAACGCUGGCGGCGUGCCUAAUACAUGCAAGUUGAGCGCUGAAGGUUGGUACUUGUACCAACUGGAUGAGCAGCGAACGGGUGAGUAACGCGUGGGGAAUCUGCCUUUGAGCGGGGGACAACAUUUGGAAACGAAUGCUAAUACCGCAUAAAAACUUUAAACACAAGUUUUAAGUUUGAAAGAUGCAAUUGCAUCACUCAAAGAUGAUCCCGCGUUGUAUUAGCUAGUUGGUGAGGUAAAGGCUCACCAAGGCGAUGAUACAUAGCCGACCUGAGAGGGUGAUCGGCCACAUUGGGACUGAGACACGGCCCAAACUCCUACGGGGGGCCGCCGUAGGGAAUCUUCGGCAAUGGACGAAAGUCUUACCGAGCAACGCCGCGGGAGUGAAGAAGGUUUUCGGAUCGUAAAACUCUGUUGGUAGAGAAGAACGGUGGUGAGAGUGGAAAGCUCAUCAAGUGACGGUAACUACCCAGAAAGGGACGGCUAACUACGUG
rnacentral:rRNA from 1 species